UCUCAAACGGGGCCAAGGGAGUGAAAGCAUUAUCCGUCAGCAUCAUGAUUACCUGAAACAAGAAGCACAGCAAGGGGCAUCAGCUCUCCAACAAGAUUUACAGGGAGAUCUCUGCCAGCACCCUAUGAACCAGGCCCCUUGUUAAAGGCACUUCGAAAAUUCCCAAAACUGUGGCUUAGAGCAGGGGCUCAUUUAACAAAGAGACAUCAUUUUCAUUACCAUCUCCCUCCCACUGCCAAAUUUGAUUGAAAAUCAAGCACGUCGGCUG